UGGGAUAGAAGAGCCAUUGGGUGUUAAGAG
rnacentral:piRNA from 1 species